rnacentral:piRNA from 1 species
UCCCGGUGACUAGUAUAUUGCAUGGUACAC